AUUGAACGCUGGCGGCAGGCUUAACACAUGCAAGUCGCGCGAGCGGCGGACGGGUGAGUAAUGUCUGGGAAACUGCCUGAUGGAGGGGGAUAACUACUGGAAACGGUAGCUAAUACCGCAUACCAUCAGAUGUGCCCAGAUGGGAUUAGCUAGUCGGUGGGGUAAUGGCUCACCUAGUCGACGAUCCCUAGCUGGUCUGAGAGGAUGACCAGCAACACUGGAACGGAGACACGGGCGAGACGCCUACGUGAGGCAGCAGUGGGGAAUAUUGCACAAUGGGCGCAAGCCUGAUGAAGCCAUGCCGCGUGUGUGAAGAAGGCCUUCGGGUUGUAAAGCACUUUCAGCGAGGAGGCGUUACUCGCAGAAGAAGCACCGGCUAACUCCGUGCCAGCCGCCGCGGUAAUUC
rnacentral:rRNA from 1 species